rnacentral:sRNA from 1 species
CUUGGUCAUUUAGAGGAAGUAAAAGUCGUAACAAGGUUUCCGUAGGUGAACCUGCGGAAGGAUCAUUAAGAAUUGGUAAUAUUUGUGAAAUUACCACAGCAAACAAUAAUUUUAUAGUCAAAACAAAAAUAAUCAAAACUUUUAACAAUGGAUCUCUUGGUUCUCGUAUCGAUGAAGAACGCAGCGAAACGCGAUAUUUCUUGUGAAUUGCAGAAGUGAAUCAUCAGUUUUUGAACGCACAUUGCACUUUGGGGUAUCCCCCAAAGUAUACUUGUUUGAGCGUUGUUUCUCUCUUGGAAUUGCAUUGCUUUUCUAAAAAAUCGAAUCAAAUUCGUUUGAAAAACAACACUAUUCAACCUCAGAUCAAGUAGGAUUACCCGCUGAACUUAAGCAUAUCAAUAAGCGGAGGAAAAGAAACCAACAGGGAUUGCCUUAGUAACGGCGAGUGAAGCGGCAAAAGCUCAAAUUUGAAAUCGGCCCCCAGGUCGAGUUGUAAUUUGUAGAUUGUAUCUUGAGAGCGGAUUAAAGUCUGUUGGAACACAGCGCCUUAGAGGGUGACAGCCCCGUAAAAUCUAUUCUCAUUGUAAGAUACUUUCGAAGAGUCGAGUUGUUUGGGAAU